rnacentral:rRNA from 1 species
UCAGUGAUAAUUCAUUCGAUAAUUUAGAAAUAGGGCAGUAACAUAUUUACUAUGUUAUGGAAGCUUCAUUAGGAAAAACAAAACUACAUGGAUAACUGUGGUAAUUCUAGAGCUAAUACAUGCAUUAAACGAUUUUAUUUAUAAAAUCAGCAGUUAUUAGAUACAAAACCUGAUUUAAUGUACUAUUACAAUAGUCAUUAUAUAAUGGUGAUUCAUAAUAUCAUAGCGAAUCACUAUAAGUGAUAAAUCGAUGAAAUUUCUGCCCUAUCAACUUUAGAUGGUAGGAUAGAGGCCUACCAUGGUGAUAACGGGUAACGGGGAAUUAGGGUUUGAUUCCGGAGAGUUAGCCUGAGAAAUAGCUACCACAUCCACGGAAGGCAGCAGGCGCGCAAAUUACCCAAUCCUGAUUCAGGGAGGUAGUGACAUGAAAUAUCAAUGCAAUGUCUAUAAGGCAUUUGCAAUUGGAAUGAUAGAAGAGUAAAAUCCUUUUAAAGGAUCAAUUGGAGGGCAAGUCUGGUGCCAGCAGCCGCGGUAAUUCCAGCUCCAAUAGCGUAUAUUAAAGUUGUUGCAGUUAAAAAGCUCGUAGUUGAAAUCAUAAAAUGAUUAUUAUCAUUAAAUUAGUUUUAUAUAAAUAUAAAGCAAUGACCAUAAAUAAAUUAGAGUGCUCAAAGCAAGCCUCGAAGUGAAAAAUUCACAGAAAAGCAUAGAUAGCUUAGCAUGGAAUAAUAAAAUAAGACUCUUAAUAAAGUUUCCAGUGUAUCUUUAUUAGAGUAAUGAUAGAAAGGGACGGUCGGGGGCAUUAGUACUUUUUCGUUAGAGGUGAAAUUCUUAGAUCGAGAAAAGACUACCAUAUGCGAAAGCAAUUGUCAAGGACGUACCCGUUGAUCAUGGGCUAAAUUCAGAGUAGCAAAAAAGAUUAGAUACCUUUGUAGUUCUGAAUGUAAACUAUGCCAUCUAGAGAUUAGAUGUAAUUCUUAUUUAUGAAUACAUCUAGCAACUUUUGAGAAAUCAAAGGUUUUGGGUUCUGGGGGGAGUAUGGUCGCAAGGCUGAAACUUAAAGGAAUUGACGGAAG